CUCUGGGCAGGAAUGAGGUGCCCCACUUACAGAAGAUGCACAGGUCAGAAGAGGCUCACCAGCAUUUCUGGAUUGAUCGCAGAGUUGAACAACAGAGAAUGUGUGCACAGUGCCAGGCACAGGUGUGGUCAAGAUUCACCUGGGAGAGGAAGCGGGCAGGGGCAGAGGAGUGUGGCCACCUGAGCUGAGAGGCUGCAUGGCAGGUGACCAUUAUUACCAGUGUCACUGGCCAGGUCACCUCUCUGAAUUUUGUGGUUGCAACUUCCAUGAUUCCCUAGAGCUGUUUUUACCUAGAAUUAAUGAAAAAUUCUGCACAUUAAAUUCGUGCUGUUAGAAUCAC
rnacentral:lncRNA from 1 species